rnacentral:rRNA from 1 species
UACAGAGGGGGCAAGCGUUGUUCGGAAUUACUGGGCGUAAAGGGCGCGUAGGCGGCCUGCUAAGUCGAACGUGAAAUCCCCGGGCUCAACCCGGGAACUGCGUCCGAUACUGGCAGGCUUGAAUCCGGGAGAGGGAUGCGGAAUUCCAGGUGUAGCGGUGAAAUGCGCAGAUAUCAGGAGGAACACCGGUGGCGAAGGCGGGUCUCUGGGCCGAUACUGACGCUGAGGAGCGAAAGCGUGGGAGCGAACAGG